GUGUCAGCCGCCGCGGUAAUACGGAGGGGGCAAGCGUUACUCGGAAUUAUUGGGCGUAAAGGGCGCGUAGGCGGUUCCGUGCGUCGGAGGUGAAAUCCCCGGGCUUAACCCGGGAGCUGCCUCCGAUACGGCGGGACUUGAGUCCGGGAGAGGGGAGCAGAAUUCCCAGUGUAGCGGUGAAAUGCGUAGAUAUUGGGAGGAAUACCAGUGGCGAAGGCGGCUCCCUGGACCGGUACUGACGCUGAGGCGCGAAAGCGUGGGUAGCAAACAGGAUUAGAAACCCUUGUAGUCC
rnacentral:rRNA from 1 species